rnacentral:snoRNA from 1 species
AGGCGAUGAUGUCGAAUUUCUUCAACUGAACUUUACUUGAAGAUUAAAUUUACUGAGCCUA